UACCAAGAUGUCCUCACCACGUUAGUGUCU
rnacentral:piRNA from 1 species